GGGCCUGGAAGCUGUGGCCUCGGCCCCUCCGGCUCCAACUGUGGGUGACGCAACAGGCAACGGCCGAGGGCUGGGCCGGGUGGCCGGUGGGGGCCGGCGGGACCCGAGCGAACUCCCCGGCGUCCAGGGAAAGCGCGGGAGGCUCAGCCUGUAGCGUCUCUGUGUCCCUCUGUCUUCCCUCCCGAGUGUGUCCGUGUGGGGCCCCCACCCCCUCAGCCUCAGUUCCCCUUCUGGACAAUGAGCGGGCAGCGAAUGACCUCUUUUGGGUCCAGGCGGGGCCCCUGAACCAAGCUAGGUUCAUGCACCCUGACGUUCCUCUCUGGGCCUCAGCCUCUCCAUCUGCCAAGUGGGUUAAUGGCAACUCGACUAACCUUGGUGGCCAGUCUGGGUUCAACGGUCUAAAAAAUGUGUAAACAGUCCCUGCUGGAAAGAUGGGGGUCACUGUGCAAUCCGCGCCCCUCUGCCCACCUCACCCCGCAUGUUCGCGGGCUUCCUGGUUGGUGCUUCGAGCAGCCGGCGACAGGUGUCCCCCCGCCACACACACUGCUCUCCGCUGUCCCAUGAAGACCCCUCAGGGCAGUGACCCGAGGACUCUGUACCUUCCACACGGCUGUGACUCCCCUGGUGGCCUCCUGCUGGGAACACGGAUUGUUUGCAGCGGGAAGAUGCCUCGUCGCCCGCCCGCCGAGGGGGACGCCCGCACUGUUCUCAGCAGCUUUGUGUCUGUGUCCUCGUCAAAAGACAGGGUCUCCGGGGAGGUUGCUCAGUCUCUCGUGCAAACCAGUGAGGGUGAGGCUGUCCCCACCUCGUCAAGAGGCUUUUGUCUUUCUCUGCUCUGAACGGUCUGCUUACAGCCUCUACCUGUACGAUCGGGCUGUUGUUAUUGGCUUUAGGCACUCUUUAUAUAUGAGCUUCACUGUCAUAUUUUAUUAUAUGUUAUGAAGUAUACAUGUUGUAGACAUAUAGUGAUUUACAAUAAAUAUGUAUGAUCUA